rnacentral:rRNA from 1 species
AUGGUGACCGGCUUUGGGUACAUCCUGGGUCUAGAUUUGGCCACGUCAACCUUCUUCACCCUUGAGCUACCAGUUGGAGUGCGGAGCAACUAUAUGCUUUCAUGUGCGGAGGGUUCCGGGAUCUAUCUUGUCAGUGCAGACGGGUUUCAUCUCAGUGUGUGGCUCCAUGGGAUGAUGGGCGACAACGAUGGUGCAGGCGGAUGGCUGCUGGUGGACACAUUUUGUGUCCGAUGUUCUGCUGGUCGCGAUUGGGUUUGGAUGGCACAAGAUGGUGAUUUUCUUGGUGUUGCUGCAGUCGGGGACAAUGCCGAGUUUGUAUUCUUGGAUUAUGCGAGAUAUGGUGUUUUCCUCUAUGUUCAUCUGAGAAGCAGGGUAGUUGAGAAGGUGCACGAGCAGGCACUGCUUGAUCAUCAUUUUAUUCGUCCGGGUAUGAACCACAUACCUAUCUGUCCCUUUAUGAUGAUCUGGCCGCCUGUUUUCCCUGCACUGAAGAACAGGCGACGUGAUCAAGAGCAAUGA